GAUGAACGCUGGCGGCGUGCCUAAUACAUGCAAGUCGAACGCACAGCGAAAGGUGCUUGCACCUUUCAAGUGAGUGGCGGACGGGUGAGCAACACGUGGACAACCUGCCUCAAGGCUGGGGAUAACAUUUGGAAACAGAUGCUAAUACCGAAUAAAACUCAGUGUCGCAUGACACAAAGUUAAAAGGCGCUUUGGCGUCACCUAGAGAUGGAUCCGCGG
rnacentral:rRNA from 1 species